CUUUUAAUGAUGGCAAUAUUGUAGAAUCCAAAUGCUGUUAAAUACCUUCUAAUUGAGUACAAAGUUCACCUGAAAUGAAACAGGCUUAAGCUCAUCUAUAGUUCAAUGUCGAAUAUUACGUUAGAAUUUCCUAAUUACGCAUUUCACGAAAAUUAAUUAUACGUGUUUUGGACCGUCUCGAUUACAAUUAAGAAAUCAAACUGGUGCGUUGUUUGCCCAACGAUUACAAACCCACAACCAUUGGAAUUUGGACAUUAGUCCUACUUAUGUUCGUAUAACUGCAUAGGAAAUGGAUAAUAUCUUCGAAAAAUCAUAACGAGAACUCGUUUGUUCAUUAAUGUUUAAUACAUUACGACAGAUUUCCUUGAGUGUACGAAUUUGAUGUGAGGUUGACCAUUAGCUGUGUGAUUCUCGUGAAGUUCGUUGCUUUUUUUUUUCGGAAUAAUUUGCCACUGUUUUUACGAUGAAUGUUUCUGCUGCAGACUGCGUUGCCAUAGUGCUCUUCGCAAUCAUGGUUAUCAUAGCCAAUACUGUGAGCUAAAAUUGUGAUUCUCCCCCAUUUGAAACGAAAUGGAACCGAUGUAGAACUUUCAACAUUUCAAUCUUUGUGAUCAUUCUGUUCAUGGGAUCGAUUCAUACCUCAAACAUCAAUAAAUUAAGCCGUUUGCUCAACAAAAUAAUUCGUUCAAGAAUAACCAAUAAAAAUGUGCAGUAAACCUCGUGAAUUUUUUCCAAUUCUGAAAUCUUCUGAAUGUAUGUUAAAUAUAGAAACAUUUUAUUAAAUGUCGCAUAUGUUAUGAAA